CCUACGGGAGGCUGCAGUGAGGAAUAUUGGUCAAUGGCCGGGAGGCUGAACCAGCAAAAUCGCGUGAGGGAAGACGGCCCUACGGGUUGUAAACCUCUUUUGUCAGGGAGCAAGGUGCAGGUCGGGAGCUGCUGUGGGAGUAGCUGACGAAAAAGCAGCGGCUAACGCCGUGCGAACAGCCGCGGUAAUACGGAGGAUGCGAGCGUUAUACGGAUUUAUUGGGUUUAAAGGGUGCGAAGGCGGAGGCACAAGGCAGCGGUAAAAUCGGGGGGCUCAACCCCGCUCCGCCGUGGAGACUGUGUCGCUUGAGUGCGCGAAGGGUAGGCGGAAUGCGUGGUGUAGCGGUGAAAUGCAUAGAUAUCACGCAGAACUCCGAUCGCGAAGGCAGUCUACCGGCGCGCAACUGACGCUCAUGCACGAAAGCGUGGGUAUCGAACAGGAUUAGAUACCCUAGUAGUC
rnacentral:rRNA from 1 species